rnacentral:rRNA from 1 species
GGACCCGCACAAGCGGUGGAGCAUGUGGUUUAAUUCGACGCAACGCGAAGAACCUUACCAGGGCUUGACAUCCCUUGACGUCUGUAGAGAUACAGAGUUCUAUCUUUCGGGAUAGACAAGGAGACAGGUGGUGCAUGGUUGUCGUCAGCUCGUGUCGUGAGAUGUUGGGUUAAGUCCCGCAACGAGCGCAACCCCUACUUUUAGUUGCCAGCACUUAGGGUGGGCACUCUAAAGGAACUGCCGGUGACAAACCGGAGGAAGGUGGGGAUGACGUCAAAUCAUCAUGCCCUUUAUGUCCUGGGCUACACACGUGCUACAAUGGCUGGUACAGAGGGCGGCGAAGGAGUGAUCCGGAGCGAAUCCCAAAAAGCCAGUCUCAGUUCGGAUUGCAGGCUGCAACUCGCCUGCAUGAAGUCGGAAUCGCUAGUAAUCGCGAGUCAGCAUAUCGCGGUGAAUACGUUCCCGGGUCUU